UACGUAGGGGGCAAGCAUUGUUCGGAUUUACUGGGCGUAAAGGGCGCGUAGGCGGCGCGUAAAGUCGGACAUGAAAUCAUUGGGCUUAACCCAAUGGCUGUGCCCGAUACUUGCGUGCUUAGAGUGCGGGAGAGGCAAUCGGAAUUCUCGGUGUAGCGGUGAAAUGCGUAGAUAUCGAGAGGAACUCCAGUGACGAAGGUGGGUUGCUGGACCGACACUGACGCUGAGGCGCGAAAGCUAGGGGAGCAAACCGG
rnacentral:rRNA from 1 species